CCUACGGGAGGCAGCAGUGAGGAAUAUUGGACAAUGGGCGCAAGCCUGAUCCAGCCAUGCCGCGUGCAGGAAGAAGCAUCUAUGGUGUGUAAACUGCUUUUGUACAGGAAGAAACACUCCCUCGUGAGGGAGCUUGACGGUACUGUAAGAAUAAGGACCGGCUAACUCCGUGCCAGCAGCCGCGGUAAUACGGAGGGUCCGAGCGUUAUCCGGAAUCAUUGGGUUUAAAGGGUCCGUAGGCGGUUUAAUAAGUCAGUGGUGAAAUCUGGUCGCUCAACGAUCAAACGGCCAUUGAUACUGUUAGACUUGAAUUAUAAGGAAGUAACUAGAAUAUGUAGUGUAGCGGUGAAAUGCUUAGAUAUUACAUGGAAUACCAAUUGCGAAGGCAGGUUACUACUUAUGGAUUGACGCUGAUGGACGAAAGCGUGGGGAGCGAACAGGAUUAGAUACCCUGGUAGUCCACGCCGUAAACGAUGGAUACUAGCUGUUCGGAGCAAUCUGAGUGGCUAAGCGAAAGUGAUAAGUAUCCACCUGGGGAGUACGUUCGCAAGAAGAGAAGUUAGAAGAAGUUAGAGGNGNGAGAGNGCGAGACGACGACGAGGAGGAGG
rnacentral:rRNA from 1 species